ACUAGUUUCAUAGUUCUUUAGGGUUACUUUUAAAACUCCUUGGAUAGCCUCCGCCAGCUCCCGGCAGGAGGCGUUUUUU
rnacentral:sRNA from 15 species